GUGCUUGCCUCAGCAGUACAUAUACUAAAAUUGGAAUGAUACAGAGAAGACUAGCAAGGCCCUUGUGCAGGGAUGACUCUCAAAUUCAUGAAGUGGUCCAAAUUUUA